rnacentral:rRNA from 1 species
GAUCCUGGCUCAGAACGAACGCUGGCGGCGUGCCUAACACAUGCAAGUCGAGUGGAAAAUGGGGGCAACUCCAUGAGUACAGCGGCGCACGGGUGAGUAACACGUAGGUAACCUACCUAUGAGUCUGGAAUAACCUGCCGAAAAGGCGGGCUAAUACCGGAUAAGACCACGGGGCUGUGGCUCCUGGGGCAAAAGGUGGCCUCUCCAUGGAAGCUACCACUCGUAGAUGGGCCUGCGCGCCAUUAGCUAGUUGGCGGGGUAAUGGCCCACCAAGGCAAAGAUGGCUAGCUGGUCUGAGAGGAUGGCCAGCCACACUGGGACUGAGACACGGCCCAGACUCCUACGGGAGGCAGCAGUGGGGAAUAUUGCGCAAUGGCGAAAGCCUGACGCAGCGACGCCGCGUGGGUGAUGAAGGCCUUCGGGUCGUAAAGCCCUGUCGGGAGGGACGAAACCUCGGUGACCUAAUACGUCAUCGACCUGACGGUACCUCCUAAGGAAGCACCGGCUAACUCCGUGCCAGCAGCCGCGGUAA